CAUUUAGAAGCAGCCAUCAUUUAAAGAGUGCGUAAUAGCUCACUAGUCGAGUGACACUGCGCCGAAAAUGUACCGGGGCUAAACAUAUUACCGAAGCUGUGGAUUGUCCUUUGGACAAUGGUAGGAGAGCGUUCUAAGAGCGUCGAAGCAUGAUCGCAAGGACAUGUGGAGCGCUUAGAAGUGAGAAUGCCGGUGUGAGUAGCGAAAGACGGGUGAGAAUCCCGUCCACCGAUUGACUAAGGUUUCCAGAGGAAGGCUCG
rnacentral:rRNA from 1 species